rnacentral:rRNA from 1 species
CUCAACCCCGCGUAUGGCAUGCGAUACUGUGUGGCUAGAGACAGGUAGGGGCGAGCGGAAUUCCCGGUGUAGCGGUGGAAUGCGUAGAUAUCGGGAAGAACAUCCGUGGCGAAGGCGGCUCGCUGGGCCUGUUCUGACGCUGAAGCGCGAAAGCGUGGGGAGCGAACAGGAUUAGAUACCCUGGUAGUCCACGCCGUAAACGCUGGGUACUAGAUGUUGGGGCUGUGGGAUCCGUGACGCAGUUAACGCAGUAAGCACACCACCUGGGGAGUACGUUCGCAAGAAUGAAACUCAAAGGAAUUGACGGGGGCCCGCACAAGCGGUGGAGCAUGUGGCUUAAUUCGAUGCAACGCGAAGAACCUUACCUGGGCUAAAUCCGCCUUGACCGUCCCUGAAAGGGGACUUCCCU